rnacentral:rRNA from 1 species
GGAGGGUGCAAGCGUUGUUCGGAAUUAUUGGGCGUAAAGCGCGUGUAGGCGGCUUGGCAAGUCGAGUGUGAAAUCCCGGGGCUCAACCCCGGAACUGCACCCGAAACUGCCAGGCUAGAGUCCCGGAGGGGGUGGCGGAAUUUCCGGUGUAGAGGUGAAAUUCGUAGAUAUCGGAAGGAACACCAGUGGCGAAGGCGGCCACCUGGACGGUGACUGACGCUGAGACGCGAAAGCGUGGGGAGCAAACAGGAUUAGAUACCCUGGGUAGUCCACGCCGUAAACGUUGGGUGCUAGGCGUCGCGGGUAUUGACCCCCUGCGGUGCCCGAAGCUAACGCAUUAAGCACCCCGCCUGGGGAGUACGGUCGCAAGACUA